UGAGGAAUCUUGCGCAAUGGGGGAAACCCUGACGCAGCAACGCCGCGUGAGUGAGGAAGGUCUUCGGGUCGUAAAGCUCUGUCAGGCGGGAAGAAAUGCAUGGAGGUGAACAGCCGCCAUGCUUGACGGUACCGCCAGAGGAAGCACCGGCUAACUCCGUGCCAGCAGCCGCGGUAAUACGGGGGGUGCAAGCGUUGUUCGGAAUCAUUGGGCGUAAAGAGCGUGUAGGCGGCUCGGUAAGUCAGAUGUGAAAGCCCUGGGCUCAACCCGGGAAGUGCAUUUGAAACUGCCAGGCUCGAGUAGGGGAGAGGGAAGUGGAAUUCCUGGUGUAGAGGUGAAGUUCGUAGAUAUCAGGAGGAACACCGGUGGCGAAGGCGACUUCCUGGCCCUAUACUGACGCUGAGACGCGAGAGCGUGGGUAGCAAACA
rnacentral:rRNA from 1 species